AUCCCGCCCAUGGCGCUCAGUCUGAGGCAGAGAGUACAGAGGUUUGUUUGCUGUUUAUCACCUUUAAUUCCACUUAUGUUACGGGUGUUGUGCAUCUAUUCAAAUGAAGCUCCUCCUCCUCCAGUUCGGCUAUAAACACUGGAAUUUUCAUAUCAGGCUCCAGUGAAGAGUUUAUUGAAGGACAGCAGGAAUAUGAGUGAUCCAGAACCCUGCAAAAUUAAAAAUGAAGACUCUGAACAACAAAUAGGAUCAAUAAAGCAAUAUCAGCUGGGCUUUCUCUACCUCUUUUCUUUAUUUAAGCGUUUUUGUUUAUUUAUUUAUUUUUUUCAUCAGAGGCAGCCCCACAGUAGUAAGCACUUUCUUUCUUUCCUUUCUGAAAGCAAGUUUGCGAACACACACACACACACACUGUGGUCCUGCAUAGCCACGCCUCCUGUCAGUCACUAAAUGCAUUCGUCUUAAUGCUGCACCACAAUUGUACUUCAUGUUUGUUACCGGCUUUAAUUUCGUAUUAAAGUAAGCUUGAUGUAAAUUCUGAGGAGAACGUUGGGUUGCUAUUGUAAAUACACACACAAGAGAGUCGGGCAGUCUUGUCUUGUUUCAUUUAGGGCUGGAAAAUACUUCGAUAUCAAUAUAUAUCACAAUAGAAUUUUUUUCAGUAAUGGUGGUAUUUUUAAACUCAUUUCCUAUAUUUCGAUAUAAAUUUGCAUAUAUUUUAAUAUUUAUAAGAUCUUCUACGUUUGCAAGGUUUCAGUGGGGUCUUAAAGUCUAAAAUAUAAAAAUGGAAAUUUAAGACCUUAAAAAUGUAACAUGAUUUUGGCUGGCGGAGCUCACAAAAUGUUUUGAGACUUAAGUAAACAGUUCAUGCGGCGUUGCAAAUAUUGAUGUAGCCUUUACUCUUUGAUUUUUUUAUUUUUUUAUUGUUAUAAUUAUUUUUUUUUCUAUGUUUUUUACAAUGUGGAUGUCAUACUAAUUAGAGCAGUCUGUGCGUGUAGCAUCUCGUCAGAUCAUACGGAACUGUCAGUCAAAAUCUGAGGUAAAUCUUAAAUGAAGCUAGGGCUGGAUGAUAUGGCAAAAAUUUAUAUCACGAUA